ACUUUCAUUAAAUUGAUCCCGGGUUGUCAUUACUUGGGCUCUUGCCAAGCGCCGUGUCUUGUAAAGGGCUGGAGCUCAAUGUGUUUGGCAGGGAGUUUUUUUCCUUCUAGCUUGCAGCUAUCAAGCAAUAUUCAAAUCGUGCGGAUCAGGCAUAUGGAAAGCUUGAUUAGUAAGUGAGAGGGUCAUGGAAUUUGACUAAUUGGUGGUGGUGUGUGAUUCAUGGCAAAUGGACUGGAUUUCAGAAGGGGUGUGUGCUCACAGGUCAUAGCGCUCGACUUUCACCUGGAGUCAAUUGACAUCAUGCUGCAGGUAACUUCUAUCAAAGAGAUAGAAUGAUAUCAUCAAACGUAGCCAUUACUCAGUCACCACUAAGGGAACUAGUAGUGUCUCCAAUCAGGUAUAUUGUUUGAUAUCCUUUUCCUUUGAUUAGUAAUGAAACUGGCCUUUGUUUCAUUGCCUUCUAUUUAUUUAUUUUAAUUGUUUUGCAGUUUCACUUCUAGCAUUGUGGUAACAACUUUGUUCGUGUUGAAUUUAGUUUUUUCCCCUUUUUCCCAGUUAAAAUUGGUUCCGUAAGUUAUUGCUCCCUGUUUGGUAAAAACAGCGCAAGAUAUAUUAAUGCUGAUUAGCUACAAUAUGCAUUUAAAGGAUACAAAUCCCAUUAAUAUGAGUCUAUCAGAAUACAGCAAAUCAAUCCAGCUUGUUUACAGAAAAGUCCAUCUCUAAACAAAUCAAUCCAGCUCUUUUAGAGUGCCUAAAGGUGCAGUCACAUCAUAUGUCAAAUGCAGUUAGCAAUCUCUUUACAGUGAUCCACACUCAAUUUGGAUACAGAAACAUAUGGUCAAUGAAAAUAGCUAGUGACGAUAUAAGACCCCCUUGUGGAAGGGAUUUAAAGAAGGUAAGGGAAUUGAAAAAACCUGCAUCUGUCUAGGAGGGAAGGGACCAUAAAUAUUCAAACAGAGUCCAAGUCUCACAGAUCAGGCCUCCUGGAUUGUCCAAUGUUACAAUUUGCAACACUACUUGAUACAAUGGUGGGGUAAAGAUGUUGGUCAUAUCUUCACUUUGACCUGAUAUUGAGUGAUAACAGUGUUUGAAACCUUUUUAAUUAGCCUGUCAGCAAGUCGUGGCCCUUCCCAUAAGCCUCUUUCACAAUCAUUAGCAUGUUACUGGGAUUUUCUGUUUCUAAACCUAUUACGUUAAGCUUAUUAGUGUCAUAAGCAUCAACAUGUUACUGGAUUUUCUGUCUUUUUGUUCUCAUUGUUGUAGUCUGUUGGUACUGCAGAGAUUCGUGGAAGCUAACAUAUAGUCGUCAAUUAUGCAGUAUUAUCUGUGCAGAUGUGACAUCCUCGCCUUGCACAAGACUACUUUUCACAGUAUUGAUAAAAUGUAAAAAUAAAUUUAUUUUAUUGGUUUUGUGCAUAGCAAGUAGACACUUGACCAUAAGUACGAUCUAUACCAGUAAACUACUAAUGGUGUGACCUAGGGGUGUUCAUCAAACUGUCAAAUGUCAAUACAACAUAAACCGCCAGCACAACAUCACAUAGACUACCGACUGUGACCUAUACUGCUAUUAGUAAUUUACAAAUCUUGAGGAUAACAAGUAGACACUUGGAUCAUAAAAUGAUUUUCAGCUAAUCAUCUUGUUUUCAUGGCUAUUGGCUUAUCAGCCAUACAAAAGUGCUGAAUAGACAAUGAAGGCAAAUGUAGGCCCUAAACCUUAAGACUUAUCAUAGAGUUUGCAAGUUGUAAGCAGCUAAGCACUAAACACCCACAAAUAUGGUUCCAACAACAUUAAUCAGAAAAUUAAAUGAUAAUUAUAGCUUUUAUACAGUGACACCCUUCCAGUCUGGAGGAUUAGGACAAAUUUCCUCCUUGGCCCAACACCCUAAUUAUUGACAAAGCCUGUACUGAGCAAAAAACUUAAAAUUCAUCCUAGAAAACAGAGAUAGCCCACAAUAUUAGACUUCAAAAUUAUGCUCAUCCUUGGUGAAAAUUGAAAAACAGAAAAGUUGUAGCUUUAGUGAAACACUAAUUAAACCAAUCACAUUUAUGUCAUGCAAGGUUUUUCAAGAUGCCCUUUUAUAACACUUCAAGUCUAGAAUGAACUGUUUCUUUAUAUCUUGAGCAUAUCUAUCUACAUUUUAUCCCCCUACAAUCUCAGUCUUGGCAUAUAGCAGCAGCACACACACGCGGACUUCAAAGAAAACCUAUGGAAGAUAAGGAGGAGGAGCAUCAGCCAACGCAUCCAUUGGCUUGCUCAAGCUGCCAUGCACGAAUAGAACAAGAGGCCGCGUCAUCAGAGAAGCAAACGCAGCUUAAAAGCCGUCUGAAAUACUACUUCUUCAUCGUUGCACUCACUGCAGUGGAGACAGGUAUAAUACUACUCUUUGCACUCACAAUCCUGAAAUUCAAGACUCCAAGUUUUCGCGUUAGAGUAGUGGCAGUCCAGGCCUUAAGAGUUGGCAACACAUCCGACCCUUAUUUCAGCAUGGCACUAAAAGCUGAAUUCAAUGUGAAAAACAGAAAUUUCGGUCAUUUCAGCUAUGAAAACUCCACUGUGUAUUUCUACUUCGAAGAUGUGAAGGUUGGAAAGGCUUUUAUUCACAAGUCUCGAGUCGAUGCAAGAUCCACAAGGAGGUUCUUUAUCAGUGUGAAGCUGACAUCUUCAUAUGUAUCAAGAAAUUCGAUACUAUGUAUUCAAGAUUUAAAUGCUGGGAUAUUGCCGAUAAGCAUGCAGGCCAAACUGAGAGGAAGGGUCACAGUAUUGAAGCUUUUAAAGAAUGACAGAGCAACCAUUUUGAAUUGUAAGAUGGAUGUUGUUGUCAAGAAGAGGCAGCUGAAGAACUUGAAGUGCAAGUGAUGUGUGUACUUUAUAGUAAGUUCAUCUGGAAGUGGCUUUUUUUAACUAAUAAAUUUGAUUAUUUCAGCGAAAUAUUUAUCAGAAUUUUAUACUGUACAAAUUUGUCAAAAAAUUGAAAUCGAUGUGAUAAUCUUCUAAAAUUAUCUGUUUUACUUUCA